AACGAACGCUGGCGGCAUGCCUAACACAUGCAAGUCGAACGAGACCUUCGGGUCUAGUGGCGCACGGGUGCGUAACGCGUGGGAACCUGCCUUUAGGUCGGAAUAACAGUGAGAAAUUACUGCUAAUACCGGAUGAUGUCUUCGGACCUUGCGCUAAUAGAUGAGCCUAAGUCGGAUUAGCUAGUUGGUGGGGUAAAGGCCUACCAAGGCGACGAUCUGUAGCGGGUCUGAGAGGAUGAUCCGCCACACUGGGACUGAGACACGGCCCAGACUCCUACGGGAGGCAGCAGUGGGGAAUAUUGGACAAUGGGCGAAAGCCUGAUCCAGCAAUGCCGCGUGAGUGAUGAAGGCCUUAGGGUUGUAAAGCUCUUUUACCCGAGAUGAUAAUGACAGUAUCGGGAGAAUAAGCUCCGGCUAACUCCGUG
rnacentral:rRNA from 1 species